AAACAUUUAUUUUGAAAGAUAAUGUGUUUAACAACAGCUUGUUUACAGCACUGCUUUUACCAUCCAGCUGUAGAAGGACUUGUAGUUCUAAAUCUCUUGAUAUAAUUGAUUUUUCAAAGCUGGACCCACUUGUUUGGUGCUCAUUAAAACUAUGCUUGUGCAUUCUUCUUAUCCACCUGAUGGAGGUGUAUGUAUGUCAAAGGGAAAUAUCUUUUGGUAAACCCUCAACUUUUGCUUGGCAGGCAACAGCCCGAGCAAGCAGGACACAAAGUACUGAAGACGGCACCUGAGGGAGAUGUGAAGCACCUUUGUUGUCUCUUGAACCUCUGCGUUCAGCAGUUGGUGAGCUUUAGACUGGUUGAAAUGUCAAUGUCAGCAAUGACAGUUUUAUAGGGCAUGAACUGUGGUGUUUGAUCCACCAGGAACAGCAGGUCAUUGACUUUGGUUAUCUUCACAACAGGAGCAAGAAUUUGAAGAGAAAAGAGAAAGAGCUGUUUCUCUCGCCUCUGAGAUAUCCAGAGAAAGGAAUCCUGCAUUAGCCAGAGAAAGGAGCAUCAAAUACUUCCAGGAGCAAGUGUCUAUCAUGACACUUGAAGACAACACGGGGACACUGAAAUUAAUCACAGAGAUGGCUUUAAAUAACCAAAAGGUAAGUUAGGAUAUAGAACCACAUUUAAUAAAGGUUUUCUCUUUUUGUGUAAAAUGAAAUUUUAAACUAAUGAACCACCAAUGUAGGCACACUUUGACAUGCAGCUGUAAAGAUUUGACUCCACUAUGAUUGGAUAUAAUUUACAAAAUUAUAUCCAAAAUUAUGCUUUCUGUUCAAGCCACUCGUGUACAAG